UACGCCCACAUCACGUUGAAACACCGUUUCCCAUACAAUCACAGACGUUAAGCAAAGUCGAGCCUGAUCAGUAUCUAGAUGAGUGACCGCUUUGGAGUACCAAGUACUGUAA